CAGCUGCUAACAACGGGCACCAAGUCCAAGUACCCCAGGUUGGUAGCGUACUCCCAGACCACCAGCCCUACUUCCAGCCCAUAUCCUGCAGCCGUCAUCCGGGGGAAGCAAUCCUUGUGGAAAUGCAACCAGACCACUGCCUCUGCAGGUGGUAGCUAUAGCUACUGAAGACCAGGAAAGAAUCUUCUCGCCCCUGAAGUCCUUGAGAACUGUUUAACAGUUCAACAACAAAGAUGGAGACAGUUUUUAUCAAUGAAAAUGACUCUGGGGAUAUUGGAAAUUAAACUUCUAACUUUUUGAGACGCAGUCUGGCCUUCCAUUGGCUUCGCAUUCCCUGUAGGAGGGUCCAAACAUCCUGGCAAUAAGAACCGUUUAAUCCCGUGCCCUUCCUGCAUCAUACUAGAGAUUGUACCCGGCAAGAGGAACAUUCCCCUAACAAGGCCUGUCACUUUCAAUUUGGAGCAAGGCCCUGGAAUCCAGAAGGGAAAGCACCAUCUAGAGAAAGGAUGGACACAGGGAAACGGGAAAUAUUCCUAAACGGAUUUUGGCAUGGUCUCACUGUACCUACCAACGGCUCCACAGUCCCUGGUUUCAAAAACAUGGCGAAUGAGGGAGGAUUGGAAUGAUUUCCUCGGAGAGCCCCGGCUUUAUUACUGUUGAAUCAUUUGUGUCCUUGCAAUUAUUUGCAUGCUGGGAUGCCUGUGAAUGACACUGUCCUCACCCUAUUUCUCCACUGAUGUAGAGCCUAUAAUAAAAGCAGGCCUCAGCUUUUCUAAUUACAAGUCUUCAUUUGUCCAGGCAUAGAGGGAAUGACUUUUAAAAUGUGAGUGUGGCUGAGCAAUGCGAAGAGGACCCUGGAGAAGCAAAUCAACCAAGUUUAAGAAUUGUGAGCCUCGGCGUUUCCCCGGGCAUUUUCUCUUUGACGAAAUAAUUCUCCAAAGCAUAGGCACCAGAGAAGACAACAAGGUCUUUCU